ACACGACUACAUUAGAUACCCGCGUAGUCCUAGCCGUAAACGAUACUCGCUAGGUGUCGGCCACGGUGCGACCGUUGUCGGUGCCGUAGGGAAGCCGUGAAGCGAGCCACCUGGGAAGUACGGCCGCAAGGCUGAAACUUAAAGGAAUUGGCGGGGGAGCACCACAACGGGUGGAGUUUGCGGUUUAAUUGGAUUCAACGCCGGAAAUCUUACCGGGACCGACAGCAACAUGAAGGCCAGGCUGAAGACUUUGCCGGAUUAGCUG
rnacentral:rRNA from 1 species